rnacentral:rRNA from 1 species
CCUACGGGUGGCAGCAGUGGGGAAUAUUGGACAAUGGGCGAAAGCCUGAUCCAGCCAUGCCGCGUGUGUGAAGAAGGCCUUCGGGUUGUAAAGCACUUUCAGUGGGGAAGAAAGCCUUGGGGCUAAUACCCUCGAGGAAGGACAUCACCCACAGAAGAAGCACCGGCUAACUCCGUGCCAGCAGCCGCGGUAAUACGGAGGGUGCGAGCGUUAAUCGGAAUUACUGGGCGUAAAGCGCGCGUAGGCGGUCUGAUAAGCCGGUUGUGAAAGCCCCGGGCUCAACCUGGGAACGGCAUCCGGAACUGUCAGGCUAGAGUGCAGGAGAGGAAGGUAGAAUUCCCGGUGUAGCGGUGAAAUGCUUAGAGAUCGGGAGGAAUACCAGUGGCGAAGGCGGCCUUCUGGACUGACACUGACGCUGAGGUGCGAAAGCGUGGGUAGCAAACAGGAUUAGAUACCCGUGUAGUC